ensembl:lncRNA phospholipase A2 inhibitor and Ly6/PLAUR domain-containing protein-like
CACUGACUCACAGCACAUUUGCAGGUCCGAGGGCCGACAAGGUGUCAGCGCUGAUCCACUCAACCCGUCUGAAGCUCAACAUGCAGGCGAUUCUGUCUCUGAUCCUCGUCUGGACACACUUCAGCACAGCUGGAUCUCUUCAGUGUGAGACUUGCACAGAUCAGCGAUGUUCGGCCACAGCGUUGGUCUCAUGUUCCUCAGCCAGCAUGUGUGUUACUGCUUCUGUUCUAGCCAAAUGGUCUGGAGGAUCGAGUGAGCACAUCUUCAAGGCCUGUGCCCCUCGCUCCCUGUGUCCGGCCUCGGGCCCCCACACAUUUUCAGCCAGCACAAAAGAUGCCAGUACAUUUGCAUCUGCCCUGUGCUGCAACACAGACGGCUGUAACUCAGGAACGCUGCCUUGUAAGUAAAGGUGGCGUCGACUGAAACAACAGGCUGGAUGGAUGCAUCCUGUUUCCAUUUGGGUGUUUCUCAUUUCAGUGAGAGCUGCUCCGUCAGACAACGGCCUAAAGUGUCUCCCAGCUGACCCCUCUUGGUUCAGGGCCCCAGUGCAAUGCAAGGGAGUGGAGAGAAGCUGCUUCCAAGCAAGAGGUGAGGCGGAAUCAUAUGUUUAGCUAAUCCGAGCUAGUUUAAGCCAUAGAUGCCAGUAAAUCUGAUUUAUCAACGUAAGAUGAGCUGUCUCAGGUUUGUUGAGGAUGAUGAGGAUCGUAAGCGUGAUCUCUCUGAACAGCCAUGAGGAGAACCCUUCAUUGUCUCUUCGCAAAUGAAAAAAAAAGUCUUUACUGGAAAUGUUAAAAAUAAUGAUUUGUAUUUGAAAUAAUAUUUUCUUUUAAUGCUCAAACUUUGCUCUCGUCAAAGAAUCCUCCAUUUGCAGCGGUCACAGCAUUGCAGGCCUUUGUCAUUCUGGAUGUUAAUUUGUUGAGGUCAUCUGGUAAUCUGGGCCUCCUGACGCAAUGAGCAGACACAUUGUACCAUUACUACACUGCAGUGACAGUUGCUGGAAAUGGGCAGACAUUUGCAGCUAGAAUAGUCAUUUACCACAUUAGUGAUGUAAACAGUGUAUUUCUGAAUCGUUCAUUGGAAAAAAGUGCCUUUCUGUCAAAAAUAAGGACACUUCUAAGUGACCCCAAACUUUUGAACAGUAAUGUAGAAGUAACACAAAAAGACUACUGCACAUUGUAGAUUACCUGUAUUAAAGUAACUGUUACUUUUACUGUUACGUUUUCAGAAACAAACUAUCAGUGUCAUGACUAAUAUAUUUGUUAUCUUGUGAAACUGCUCCAGAGGAACCAAACUAUCCUUCACCUUGCUAAACCAGUUCCAGUUUCCUAUGAAAUAGCUGAUAAACGUCAACCAUGUGAUCUCAUGAUGCAAUCUCUGUGAUUUACAUAUUUUAUAAACCAACUUAGUGACAAACAAGACAGAAAAGUUUGUCUAUGCACACAAAUAACAUCUUAGUGUUUCACCAUCAUCUAUAGGUCGUAGUUCACUGGCUUCAGUUUCACCUGUUAAACCAUAAACUUCAUGUGAAGUGGCUGAAUGAAGCCUAUUUACACCUCUGGUGCAGGUGUUUCAACAUGUUCCAGACCUAAAUAUUUCUAUUUGUCUUGGAUCAGAAUAAGGCUCAGUAUCUAGACUGAUCCUGGUACCAGGAGGAUUCCUACAAAGCUUUGAGUCAUGAUUAAUUAUUUACAUGUUUGUCGUUUUUCCUUCAACAGCUUCUUUUGCUGAAAGUAACAUAAUGAAUAAAUGAGUGUUUAAAAUAAAUUACUGUAAUACA